UUUUAAACAUCUUAUGAUUGAUGACGUCACAAAUAUGGUAUUAUUGUCCGUGAUGAAGUUUCACAAGUGGGUGUGUGUGUCCCGCAAUCAAGGAAGGUAGAUUCUAAAGCAUGCAAGAAUUUUAUUGUAUUUUUCCACUUAUUAUUAUCAUGUUCUAGUAAAUCAACCAAGUUCUGCACGUAAAACAAAUACUAGACAAAAAAUACUCCGAUCAAUAUUCCACCGAGAACCAAGAAAGGAAAAGGAAGGAUUUCCGAAGUUACUCUGUUUUAUACCGGAUAAAUUAUUUAAGUCUGAGUUAUGGCCACUUACGGGAAAGGUGAAUUUGGAGGAUUCUCUUCGUAUCAGACGAGUGAUUCACCGCCAGCCACAGGAGGGGGAGGAGGGAGUGAAUUGUCGAGACUAACCAACACCAUCAGCAGUAACAUACAGAGGAUUACACAGAAUGGUAAGUCAAUACA